rnacentral:rRNA from 1 species
GGAUGAACGCUAGCGGCAGGCUUAACACAUGCAAGUCGAGGGGCAGCACGGGUAGCAAUACCUGGUGGCGACCGGCGCAAGGGUGCGUAACGCGUGAGCAACAUGCCCUAUACAGGGGGAUAAUCCAGGGAAACUUGGUCUAAUAUCCCAUAGCAUUUAGAGGAGGCAUCUUCACUAAAUUAAAGCUUCGGUGGUAUAGGAUUGGCUCGCGUGACAUUAGCUAGAUGGUGAGGUAACGGCCCACCAUGGCUAUGAUGUCUAGGGGUUCUGAGAGGAAGACCCCCCACACUGGGACUGAGACACGGCCCNNNCUCCUACGGGAGGCAGCAGUGAGGAAUAUUGGACAAUGGAUGGAAAUCUGAUCCAGCCAUGCCGCGUGCAGGAAGACGGCCCUAUGGGUUGUAAACUGCUUUUAUAUGGGAGCAAUAAGGUUUACGAGUAGACCGAUGAGAGUACCAUAUGAAUAAGCAUCGGCUAACUCCGUGCCAGCAGCCGCGGUAAUACGGAGGAUGCAAGCGUUAUCCGGAUUUAUUGGGUUUAAAGGGUGCGCAGGUUGUUUGGUAAGUCAGUGGUGAAAGUCUGUCGCUUAACGGUAGGAUUGCCAUUGAUACUGUUAGACUUGAAUAUGGAUGAGGUAGGCGGAAUGUGUAGUGUAGCGGUGAAAUGCAUAGAUAUUACACAGAACACCGAUUGCGAAGGCAGCUUACUAAUCCAUCAUUGACGCUGAGGCACGAAAGCGUGGGGAUCAAACAGGAUUAGAUACCCUGGUAGUCCACGCCGUAAACGAUGAUCACUCGCUGUUUGCGAUAUACAGUAAGCGGCUAAGCGAAAGCGUUAAGUGAUCCACCUGGGGAGUACGAUCGCAAGGUUGAAACUCAAAGGAAUUGACGGGGGCCCGCACAAGCGGAGGAACAUGUGGUUUAAUUCGAUGAUACGCGAGGAACCUUACCUGGGCUUAAAUGGGGGACGACAGCUGCUGAAAGGUGGUUUUCUUCGGACGUUCUUCAAGGUGCUGCAUGGUUGUCGUCAGCUCGUGCCGUGAGGUGUCGGGUUAAGUCCCAUAACGAGCGCAACCCUUACUGUUAGUUGCCAUCGGGUAAAGCCGGGGACUCUAGCGGGACUGCCACCGUAAGGUGAGAGGAAGGUGGGGAUGACGUCAAAUCAGCACGGCCCUUAUGUCCAGGGCUACACACGUGUUACAAUGGCCGGUACAAAGGGCAGCUACACCGCGAGGUGAUGCUAAUCUCGAAACCCGGUCUCAGUUCGGAUCGAAGUCUGCAACCCGACUUCGUGAAGUUGGAUUCGCUAGUAAUCGCGCAUCAGCCACGGCGCGGUGAAUACGUUCCCGGGCCU